UAUUAAUAACCUGUUGUGGAUUAGAAAUUUUAAUUUAUCAAAACAAAACAAUAUUUUUAUUUUUCAGGUUAAAGAGAAUAUUUAAAAAUUGAGCAAAGUUUUACUAAUUUUUAGUGGUCUUAUGAGCAAAGUUUAUUUCGUUUGUGUUAUUGUUACUCAAAACUAUAAAAGUAAACAAAAAAGAAAACUACCUUUAUCUACAUUUGUCGAUGUCCAUUUCUUAAGAAGUUUCUCAUUAAAACAACCCAUAACUCAGUGUCCACGCCCAUGGCAGAGCUAGGGUGGUUAGCGUAACUACAAGUGGUUAACUACAGUUAGCCAACUAAAGAACAAUGCCCGAUUAAUUAGUGGUCGCGCUACUUAUCUACUACAUGUCCCUGCUGCCAGUUAUAGCAAUAAUUUCUUUGUUGGGAAGUAUUUAGCACAUCCUGGCUGCACAAAAGGAGAGGGUGGGCAUUACCUCUGUCUCUUAAAAAAGUCCGCAUGUUAUUUUUAUCCCAGUGUUAAUCUCUAAGUCUCUUAUGAGUCAGCACUAAUAUACAUAGGUUUACCUAAGUGUGUGAUGAGUGACUUCACAAGCAGACUUACUAUUAAAGGAUUUGAACAGUUCUUUAGGGUGUUUUAUUCCUGGAUUGCUUCACCAGCCAAAAACAGUGACAUAAUAACAAUGGGUCCGCAAAUUCAAACCAUUCAAAAUCCUCUACUGAGAGCAAAAUGUUACUCUUAUUUUUCUAUUCUUUACAAGUUAGGCUGAAAAUCCACAACCCUUUCAGUUGCUACAUGUCAUCGCACCAGAAUGCUAAAUCGCUUGGCCGUACGUCUCAAUUGGUCCAGCCGGGGAUCAAACACAGGACCUCCGGAACAUUAAUUAUCAUUAACAUCUGAUAGUGGUAUAUUAUACAUUAUCACCAUAAUAUUACCAGUCCACAUUGGAGCAGACUAAAUUGAUUACUAUGAACAGACCAUUACGAUGAACCACUGAUAUUGACACAGAGACAUGAAGAUGAGUGCUUUGACAACAAGACUGACUAGCUGAGCCAGCUUUAAGAAUUAUGUGGUGUGUGGUGUGUGUGUGUAAUCCCAGGAGCUCUCUAUGUCAGCCAUCCAUCUAUAUUCUUACUCAUUUUUGUUAAUUAUAAAAUAAAUUUGAUUAUUUCGUAUGUAACUUCAUUGUACCUAUCCUGUGAUUGACUGAAGCUGUUAGAAAGGUUGCAUCUGUAAUAAUUUAUUUA